rnacentral:snRNA from 1 species
GUCUCCUCGGGGACAUGUGAUAAAAUUGAAACAAUAUAGAGAAGUUUAAUAUGGCCCCUGUGUAAGGAUGACACACGCAAAUUUGGAAAGAAAGAAAAAGAUAUUU